UUUCAAACUCCGACGAAGCAAACAUUCGAAACUAAUUGCGAAGAAGUGGGAUAGAUUUGUAAAGGAAAAAGAGAGAUUGCAGACAGUAGGCGGGGAGUAGAUAUGUACGAUAUAAGUAUCAUCGAGUAACAGAUUAGAAUUUGAACAGUCUGUGUUUGAUAGUAUUGGAAAUUACAACCAUGAAGAACGAGGAACUUGCACAGAAUGCACAAAAAGAGUCAACAAAUAUUAUUGGUAAACUUGGAAUCAGACAUUUGCAAGUUUUUCUGCAUUUCUUAGGGAUGGUGAUCGGAUAUUCUCUUCGAGUGAGCAUGUCGCUAGCUAUUGUGCCAAUGACAACGAAAGACUCCAAUAAUUAUCAAUUCGAGGUUUACAAUUGGUCGUCAACCGAAAGUGCAACAAUACUCUCCUCUUUUUUUUGGGGCUAUACGAUCAUGCAAAUACCAAGUGGUUAUAUAGCGGCAUUUUGGAGUGCUCAAAAAUUAUUGAGUUUCGGACUGCUAGUUUGCGGAAUCUUGAAUAUUUUGACACCAACUCUUGCCCAUUACGGUGGUUAUUUGGCUGUCUGUGCUUGUAGGGUAGGCAUGGGACUUUCUCAGAGUUGCCUGUUACCGAGCAUACACACCCUUCUUUCUAAGUGGGCACCACCGACUGAACGGGCACGACUCGGAACACUUGCUUACGCCGGUGCACAAUUCGGUACCGUGAUUUGUUUUCCAAUUUCUGGACUGUUAGCAUCAUCGAGUGCCGGCUGGCCAUCUAUUUUUUACGUUUUUGGCGCUUUGGCCGUGAUUUGGGGCGUUAUAUUCUUCGUUUUUGGUUCGGACAGCCCUGCUAAGCACUCGCGUAUAUCGGAAAGAGAAAGGCGAUAUAUCGAAAACAGUUUAAAAAGUAGCGAGGAAAAAGAAAAACCGAGCAAUGAAACGGCGAUGAGAACACCGUGGAAAGCUAUUUUCACGUCGGUGCCGAUGUGGGCUUUAAUAAUUGUGCAUUGCGGACAAAAUUGGGGCUAUUGGACUCUUAUCACUGAAUUACCAACUUAUAUGAAUGAAGUUUUGGAAUAUAAAUUGGUAGAUAAUGGUAUUAUAUCGGCGCUUCCCUAUUUAGUGAUGUGGAUCUUAAGUUUUCCGGUAUGCUGGCUGGCCGAUUAUGCUUUAAAAAAGGGUAUCUCGGCAGGAGUAAUUAGAAAAUUUUGCAACACGAUCGCACACUGGGGACCAGCGAUAGCGUUGAUUUGUCUUGCCGCUAUGUCGGUGCAGGAUCACAAAGUGGCUGUAAUCAUUCUUGUGAUAGCUGUAGGGUUAAACGCUGGUUCUCUAUGCGGAUUUCAAAUUAAUCAUAUCGAUCUAAGUCCGAAUUUCGCCGGUAGAAUGAUGUCUAUCACCAAUUGUAUCGCAUCCGUGGUCGCGAUAAUUGCACCAAUGGUUUGCGGCCUCAUCGUAACGCAAAAGAAAAGUAUUACCCAAUGGAACAUAGUGUUUUACUUGUCUGCUGCAAUUUAUAUUUUAGGAAAUUUAAUCUUUAUCAUUUUUGGAAGCACUGAGAUUCAACCAUGGAACAAUCCAAAACCUGCGAAUCUUGAAAAACGAAGCGACAAAGAAUUAACGGUUGUAUAAAUAUUUAAAUAUAUAUAUAUAUAUAUAUAUGUGAGUAUAUGUACAAAUAUAAUCUAAUACCAACAAUAAGUACAACUGGAUAUAAAUUUCCAUACUUAAAAGUUAACUAGUCGCAUUGCUCAAAAAUAUUAAAUUUAGUAAUAUAUAUAUAAUAAAAUAUAAAGAUAUAUAAAUAGAAAUAUAAUAUAAAUUCAUUAAAAUUUGAAAUUAUACAAAAUAAAAGUUUAUAUAUAUAUAUAUAUAGCUUUUUAGUUCAGGAUUUUCAGGUUUAAUGUCUUAUGUUCGUUGCCAGGAUAUGAUGCCAGUUCGUUCUCACUCGCGUGCUUAGGUGCUAUUUGGAUAAGAGAAAGACGAUGGAUAUGAUGAUCCAUAAUUGAUUAUUAAAAUUUAUUAAAAUUUCUCAGCGACCAAUGACGACGAAUUAGUGAAUUUUUCACAUUGUGUGCGUGUUAGAUUGAAUUACAUCGUUUUAAUCCAUCGAUAAAGAUUGGAAAUUCCAUUACAAUUUAUGACAAUGAUAUUACAUUCCUUAUAUACUACGGAUUAAGAUUAAUUAUUAAUCUUGCAAAUUAUAAUAACAAUAUUUUUUCGAUUAUAUGAACAUUUAUGUAAUUUUGUUGCUUUUUACGCAAUGGUCUCUAGUCAUUGUUAGUGGAUUUCAAAAGAAUGGCACGUAAAGUUAGAGCAUAAAAAUAAUAUAGAUUUUUAUGCGUGAGAAUCAUAGAGAUGUAUCGAUAUCUUCGUUUUUUUAAAUAUAUUUUUUUUGAAUUAUUUUUUUAAAAUAUAAAACUAGAUAAAAUAAGUAGCUUUGCGCAAAUAUCGAUUGUAAGAUAGAUAGAGUUGUCAUAAUUUUUCAUAGAGUAGGAUUCUUUUUUUUUUCACGUGGCGAUCUGUUUCAAGAAAUCAAAUUUGAAAAAUCGAGGGUGUAAAACUAAGAAAUAUCAAUGGAUAAUAUUAUGUCCUCUCUGGCUUCGUUUUUUCUGUUAGUGUUUUAGAACGAUUUCCAACGAGGAAUUGUUUUAAAAUCACGAUUGUAUUAAACGAAGUUUUAGUAAUAGAGAUUAGCAAUGUAUCAAGCGACGUCGUCCUUGAAGGGUUAAUUUUGCUUACGUAUUUCGAUCGCAGCAUGCUAGAUGGCGUAACAAACACUGAUCUUUUCUCAAGUUGAUAAUUUCAGAAAACACGUGACACAAAAUUCCAUAAAAUAUCACGCGUAUUCUGCAAUAGAAAAAGAAUUAAUUUAUAAAUAAAGUAACGAAUUGUUUUCCUAUAUGAAUAAUGAAUUCUUCCUUUUUUUUCUUUUUCAUAAUUUUUAUAAUUUUUUUAAUUAAGAAAACGCAAUUUCGAACAAACGAAUCGAUAUUAUACAUACACAAAAAACAUGUAUUCCAUCCUAUAACAUUAGCGUAUAAAAAA
rnacentral:misc_RNA from 1 species